GUGGGGAAUCUUCCGCAAUGGACGAAAGUCUGACGGAGCAACGCCGCGUGAGUGAAGAAGGUUUUCGGAUCGUAAAGCUCUUUCGUUAGGGACGAACGUGCUCUUUGUGAAUAAUGAGGAGUAAUGACGGUACCUAAAUAAGAAGCCACGGCUAACUACGUGCCAGCAGCCGCGGUAAUACGUAGGUGGCAAGCGUUGUCCGGAAUUAUUGGGCGUAAAGCGCGCGCAGGCGGGAUAUCAAGUCUGUCUUAAAAGUGCGAGGCUCAACGUCGUGAGGGGACAGAAACUGGUAUUCUUGAGUGUCGGAGAGGAAAGUGGAAUUCCAAGUGUAGCGGUGAAAUGCGUAGAGAUUUGGAAGAACACCAGUGGCGAAGGCGACUUUCUGGACGAAAACUGACGCUGAGGCGCGAAAGCCAGGGGAGCGAACGGGAUUAGAAACCCCUGUAGUCC
rnacentral:rRNA from 1 species